GUCUCAGUAGCAUAGCGGUUAGUGCACAGCCCCGGAUAGGUUGAGACGCGGGCUCGAUUCCCGCCUGAGAUG
rnacentral:tRNA from 1 species